GCACCCCUGGGUUCCAUGCUUAGUAUCAAAAAUAAAUAAAUAAAUAAAUAACAGGGAACUUGCUCCUGAUUCUAAGAGGAAUCUUGUGGACAUUAUGGACAUAGAUCCACGGACAGAGUGUGGUCUGUCCAGACUCUGCACUCCAUGACUUCUGCCUACCUUGUCUUUCUUCAGGCCUGGCUGCCUGCCGCAGAAUGCCCUCCUGCUCAUGUCCCUCUUCUUGGAUGGCUCUUCUCCCUGCUCUGCCUGUUGAUUCCUACAUUUAAGGACCCACACUUGUUACCUGUCCUUAAAGCCUUUUUUUUUUUCCCCAAUACUGGGGCUUGACACAGCAGCUCUAAGUCUCAGUGUUUGUGAAAUGAGUGAUGAAGCCCCGGGCCCUUCCUCUGGUACCUCGUGAGCAGUUGCUGGCUUCCUGACAGUUUUGGGGAAUGUGUAAGCUUAAAACAUGCCCUUGCAAUCUCCAGCACCCUAAAACAAAACAAAACAAAAAAAUUCCCCAAGUAGCUGCAUCUGCAUAUUCCAAUUUAGUGAUGUCCCCAUGAACUCGCUAUUUACAUGCUGAGAUCAAACUUCAACCUACGGACUUGGUUUACCUGUCAUUGAUCUGACACUUUGGGGCUGACUGUGAUUAACCAGUAGGCUCAACACAUUCUGAGGCUGGUGGUGGUCUCUCAUGGUCAGGCCUCUGCAGUGCGUUAGAAGAGGGUGAACAUCCCCUGGCGGUGCUGGGAGAUGUGUGAUUUAUCUGAAAAGGGAAGGGACUUGAGCAGCUAGUUCAAAAAACAGGUCCAGCAAGGCGCGGCCCCAUUGGGCUUGCUGCUCGGCACCACACCCCUGCUGCUCCGGGGAGCUGUUCAUCCCCCGCAGUAGGGCAGCCCCAUCCACCAGACCUCAA
rnacentral:lncRNA from 1 species